rnacentral:misc_RNA from 1 species
UCCGGCUUAUCACCGGCAGUUUCUUUAGAGUGCCCAACUAAAUGAUGGCAACUAAAGACGAGGGUUGCGCUCGUUGCGGGACUUAACCCAACAUCUCACGACACGAGCUGACGACAGCCGUGCAGCACCUGUCUCCGCGUCCCCGAAGGGAACAACAGAUCUCUCUGCUUAGCACGGGAUGUCAAGGGAUGGUAAGGUUCUGCGCGUUGCUUCGAAUUAAACCACAUGCUCCGCCGCUUGUGCGGGCCCCCGUCAAUUCCUUUGAGUUUUAGCCUUGCGGCCGUACUCCCCAGGCGGGGCACUUAAUGCGUUAGCUACGGCACAGAACCCGUCGAUGGGGUCCUACACCUAGUGCCCAACGUUUACGGCGUGGACUAC